rnacentral:ncRNA from 1 species
UUAAGAUUUAAUUUUAGUCUUUAUAUUAAAUAAAAAAAAACAUGCAUAUAAAUUUUUAACUAGAUUAAAAUUUAAUUAAAAUUAGUAUAAAAUAUUUUAUUAUUAAGGAAACUUAAAAAAAUUUUUUAUUUUCAAAUUUUUGUGCCAGAAGUUUCGGUUAAACAAAUAAUUGAUUAAUAUUAUUAGUUAUUAUAAAAAAAUUGAUAAAGAAAAAAUUUAUUUUAUUUUUAGUAAAAUAAAAUAAAUAAUAUUAUUUCUAUUUAAUAAUUAUAUUUAUAAAAUAUAAAUUAAAUACUAGGAUUAGAUACCCUAUUAAAAUUUAUAUAUAAACUAAGUUAUUAAAAUUUAAAUAAAUAAAAUUAAAAAAGAUGGCAGUGUAAUAACUUAAUUAGAGAAUUUUGUUUAAUAAAUUGAUAAUACACAAGAUACCUUACUUUAUUUUUUAUUUAUUUAUUUCCGUUUUAAGAAUUAAUAUAAAAUUUAAUUCAUAAAAAAAAUUAAAUCUUAUAAUUCAGGUCAAUAUAUAGUUUAUAAUAAAGUUUAAAUGAAAUACAUUUAAAAAAUAAAUAUGGAUUAUAUAAUUAAAAUAUAAAAUGAAAGAGAAUUUAAAAGUAAUAAAACUUUAGAAUAAUUUUAUGAAUAAGUUAUAUUAUAUGUACAAAUCGCCCGUCAUUCUUAUAAAUUAGACAAGUCGUAACAUAGUAAAUGUAUUGGAAAAUGUAUUUAGAUAUAA